GACGAACGCUGGCGGCGUGCCUAAUACAUGCAAGUAGAACGCAGUUGCGAACGGGUGAGUAACGCGUAGGUAACUGCCUCAUAGCGGGGGAUAACUAUUUGAAACGAUAGCUAAUACCCCCUUCUUUGCGCUGGACCUGCGUUGUAUUAGCUAUUUGGUGAGGUAAAGGCUCACCAAGGCGACGAUACAUAGCCGACCUGAGAGGGUGAGCGGCCACACUGGGACUGAGACACGGCUCAGACUCCUACGGGAGGCAACAGUAGGGAAACUUCGGCAAUGGAGGGAAGUCUGAACAAGCAACGCCGGGGGAGUGAAGAAGGUUUUCGGAUCGUAAAGCUAUGUUGUUAGAGAAGCGGUAAAUAAAGAGAAAGGGACGGCUAACUACGUGCCAGCAGCCGCGGUAAUAG
rnacentral:rRNA from 1 species